UAACAAUAUAGAUCGUAUUUUUUUAUUCAAUAUUCAAAUUCAAUAUUAUGAUAAUGAAACGACGAUAAAAAUUAUGAUAUUUAACUAUAGAAGUCAAUUUAAAGUUGUGUGAAAACGUAUCGUAAUAUAAAUGAUCUAGUAGAUGGUGCAGCAAUCGCUUUUUCUUUAGUUACUCUUUUUUUCUUAUACUACUUCUAAAUGUAGUGUGAUAUUAAACGCUGAAUAUUUGAGAUUAAGUUUAUGUUUAUCUGAGAAUAAAAUAUAAAUAUCAAAGAGAAAAUUCAGUUUGUAUUUUACAAAUAAAUAUAAUAAUAUUUUAUGAAAUGUUGAAGUAAUUACUUUUAAAUUAUUUGGUGAAAUAACAUAUUUUUGUUGUGAUUUUUUCAUAUGUUUUUACAGAAGCUAUAUAUAGAGUGAUAAUUUGAAAUGUGAUUUUAUCAAAAACGUGUUCAAUAGUAUAAAAUUAAUGUUGGUAGUUAGCCGCUAUAAAUCGCAGAUAUGGUAUGGAAAGACACUUUGAAAUAAGCAAAAUUUUUAGAAAAUUGUCUUUAGAGGAUCCUCUCGUGAAAUUGCUUCAAUAUUAUUUAUUGGGAAGAAUAUAGUAGAUGAUAUCGCGCAGGAUAUGGAAGGAUAUAGAAGAUUCAUCAAGUGGAAAAAAUCGAUGAAAUAAUAAAAG